CAGGUCACCUUCGACGUUCACCAAAAACGUGACUUAAUCGAUAUCUUCGAUAAAAUCAAUGACACACUUCGUCGUAUUGUCGGCCGCCUUCACGGAAAGUUCCAUGAUUUGCAUGAUUUCUUGCACCAAGCUAUUUCCCAUGGAAAAGACAAGCUGAAACCUCACAUAGAAAAUAUCAAAACUUUGGCAAAGACUUUUAUUGCCCACAUCAACGACGUCAACGCUAGAGUUGCUAAGCAAGCUUUGGAAUUCUUCAAACCUUGGGCAGCUUUAUUGGGUUCCACCUGGACUACAUUGGUCAAUGAUAUCCACAAACGCCUGGAGCAUUUGAAACCAACAAGCACGCCUAUAUUCUAAGUAGAAAUGUUAAAUCAUAUACACAUAAACAUGUAUGUUAGUAUAUGUAUUUAUUACUGAAAAUAUAUUUGGAAUAUCUGCCGAAUAAAUAUCUAAACAGAA
rnacentral:lncRNA from 1 species